CCUACGGGAGGCAGCAGUGAGGAAUAUUGGUCAAUGGACGCGAGCCUGAACCAGCCAAGUCGCGUGCAGGAUGACGGCUCUAUGAGUUGUAAACUGCUUUUGUAUGAGGAUAAAGUCCGAUACGUGUUUCGGUUUGUAUGUACCGUAUGAAUAAGGAUCGGCUAACUCCGUGCCAGCAGCCGCGGUAAUACGGAGGAUCCGAGCGUUAUCCGGAUUUAUUGGGUUUAAAGGGUGCGUAGGUGGUUUGUUAAGUCAGUGGUGAAAUUUUGGGGCUCAACCCUGAAACUGCCGUUUAUACUGGUGGACUUGAGGAUAGUUGAGGUAGGCGGAAUGUGUGGUGUAGCGGUGAAAUGCUUAGAUAUCACGCAGAACACCGAUUGCGAAGGCAGCUUACUAAACUAUAACUGACGUUGAGGCACGAAAGCGUGGGUAGCAAACAGGAUUAGAUACCCGAGUAGUC
rnacentral:rRNA from 1 species